rnacentral:rRNA from 1 species
UACGGGGGGAGCAAGCGUUGUUCGGAUUUACUGGGCGUAAAGGGCGCGUAGGCGGCGCAACAAGUCACUUGUGAAAUCUCCGGGCUUAACCCGGAGCGGCCAAGUGAUACUGUCGGGCUAGAGUCCGGAAGGGGCGAGUGGAAUUCCUGGUGUAGCGGUGAAAUGCGCAGAUAUCAGGAGGAACACCGAUGGCGAAGGCAGCUCGCUGGGACGGUACUGACGCUGAGACGCGAAAGCGUGGGGAGCAAACAGG